rnacentral:rRNA from 1 species
UUCCGGUUGAUCCUGCCGGAGGCUACCGCUAUUGGAGUUCGAUUAAGCCAUGCGAGUCGAGAGUCCUCGGGACUCGGCGUACCGCUCAGUAACACGUGGGUAACCUGCCCUAUGCUGGGGAAUAACCUCGGGAAACUGAGAAUAAUGCCCCAUAGCCCACUACGCCUGGAACGGUGAGUGGGUCAAAGCUCCGGCGGCAUAGGAUGGGCCUGCGCCGUAUCAGGUUGUAGGGGGUGUAAAGUACCCUCUAGCCAUCAACGCGUACGGGUGUUGGGAGACAUUGCCCGGAGAUGGAUUCUGAGACACGAAUCCAGACCCUACGGGGUGCAGCAGGCGCGAAAACUUGGCAAUGCGAGAAAUCGUGACCAGGGAACUCCAAGUGCGUAGGGUAAGACCUACGCUUUUCUUGACUCUUCAAAGGUCUUGGAAUAAGGGGUGGGUAAGGACGGUGCCAGCCGACGAGGUAAUACCGGCGCCUCAAGUGGUAGUCGCUUUUAUUGGGCCUAAAACG